AGAGUUUGAUCCUGGCUCAGGAUGAACGCUAGCGGCAGGCUUAACACAUGCAAGUCGAGGGGUAACAGAGUAGCUUGCUACUGCUGACGACCGGCGCACGGGUGCGUAACGCGUAUACAAUCUACCUUAUACUGGGGUAUAGCCUUUAGAAAUGAAGAUUAACCCCCCAUAGUCUCUAAGAGUGGCAUCACAUUUAGAGUAAAGGUUACGGUAUAAGAUGAGUAUGCGUUCUAUUAGUUUGUUGGUGAGGUAACGGCUUACCAAGACUACGAUAGAUAGGGGCCCUGAGAGGGGGAUCCCCCACACUGGUACUGAGACACGGACCAGACUCCUACGGGAGGCAGCAGUGAGGAAUAUUGGACAAUGGAGGCAACUCUGAUCCAGCCAUGCCGCGUGUAGGAUGACUGCCCUAUGGGUUGUAAACUACUUUUAUACAGGAAGAAACACCUCUACGUGUAGAGGCUUGACGGUACUGUAAGAAUAAGGAUCGGCUAACUCCGUGCCAGCAGCCGCGGUAAUACGGAGGAUCCAAGCGUUAUCCGGAAUCAUUGGGUUUAAAGGGUCCGUAGGUGGAUAAUUAAGUCAGAGGUGAAAUCUUGCAGCUCAACUGUAAAAUUGCCUUUGAAACUGGUUAUCUUGAGUUAUUAUGAAGUAGUUAGAAUAUGUAGUGUAGCGGUGAAAUGCAUAGAUAUUACAUAGAAUACCAAUUGCGAAGGCAGAUUACUAAUAAUCAACUGACACUGAUGGACGAAAGCGUGGGUAGCGAACAGGAUUUAGAUACCCUGGUAGUCCACGCCGUAAACGAUGGUUACUAGCUGUUUGGACUUCGGUCUGAGUGGCUAAGCGAAAGUGAUAAGUAACCCACCUGGGGAGUACGUUCGCAAGAAUGAAACUCAAAGGAAUUGACGGGGGCCCGCACAAGCGGUGGAGCAUGUGGUUUAAUUUCGAUGAUACGCGAGGAACCUUACCAGGGCUUAAAUGUAAGUUGCAUUAGUUAGAGAUAGCUAUUUCUUCGGACCACUUACAAGGUGCUGCAUGGUUGUCGUCAGCUCGUGCCGUGAGGUGUCAGGUUAAGUCCUAUAACGAGCGCAACCCCUGUUGUUAGUUGCCAGCGAGUCAUGUCGGGAACUCUAACAAGACUGCCAGUGCAAACUGUGAGGAAGGUGGGGAUGACGUCAAAUCAUCACGGCCCUUACGUCCUGGGCUACACACGUGCUACAAUGGUAGGGACAGAGAGCAGCCACUGGGCGACCAGGAGCGAAUCUAUAAACCCUAUCACAGUUCGGAUCGGAGUCUGCAACUCGACUCCGUGAAGCUGGAAUCGCUAGUAAUCGGAUAUCAGCCAUGAUCCGGUGAAUACGUUCCCGGGCCUUGUACACACCGCCCGUCAAGCCAUGGAAGUUGGAAGUGCCUGAAGUCCGUCACCGCAAGGAGCGGCCUAGGGUAAAGUCGAUAACUAGGGCUAAGUCGUAACAAGGUA
rnacentral:rRNA from 1 species